rnacentral:rRNA from 1 species
AACGAACGCUGGCGGCAUGCCUAAUACAUGCAAGUCGAACGAGAUCUUCGGAUCUAGUGGCGCACGGGUGCGUAACGCGUGGGAAUCUGCCCUUGGGUUCGGAAUAACUUCUGGAAACGGAAGCUAAUACCGGAUGAUGACGUAAGUCCAAAGAUUUAUCGCCCAAGGAUGAGCCCGCGUAGGAUUAGCUAGUUGGUGGGGUAAAGGCCCACCAAGGCGACGAUCCUUAGCUGGUCUGAGAGGAUGAUCAGCCACACUGGGACUGAGACACGGCCCAGACUCCUACGGGAAGCAGCAGUAGGGAAUAUUGGACAAUGGGCGAAAGCCUGAUCCAGCAAUGCCGCGUGAGUGAUGAAGGCCUUAGGGUUGUAAAGCUCUUUUACCCGGGAUGAUAAUGACAGUACCGGGAGAAUAAGCUCCGGCUAACUCCGUG